AGAAGGCCGUGUAUGCUCUGAAUCAGCAUCCAAUAUACGGUACUGUUUCUCCUGUAGCCAGGAUUCAUGGGUCCAGGAAUCAAGGGGUGGAAGUGGAAGUGGCACAACUCACCAUCACUCCUAAUGAUCCACCACCAAAAUUUUUGCUUCCUGAUCCCGCGGCAUUCCAUUCUGCUGGCCUAGAGGCCUUAGUUCCAGAGAAAGGAAUGCUGCCACCAGGAGACACAACUACAAUUCCACUAAACUGAAAGUUAAGAUUGACACCUGGACACUUUUGGAUCCUCCUACAUUUAAGUCAACAGGCUAAGCAGGGAGUUACAAUGUUGGCUGGGGUGAUUGGCCCAGACUAUCGAGAUGAAAUCAAUCUACUGCUCCACAAUGGAAGUAAGGAACGAUAUGCAUGGAAUACAUGAGAUCCAUUAGGGCACCUCUUAUUAUUACCAUGCCCUGUGAUUAAGAUCAAUGGGAAACUACAACCACCCAAUCCAGGCAGGACUACAAAUGACCUAGACCCUUCAGAAAUGAAGGUUUGGAUCGCUGCACCAGGAAAAACAAAGCAAAACAAAAACAUGACCUGCUGAGGUACUUGCUGAAGGCAAAGAGAACACAGAAGGUGUAGUAGAAAGAAGAAGCCAAUCAAUUGUUUAUUUGUGAGUUACCCACACUUUUUUUAUUGUUUAUUUGUUUCCUGUGGAUGCCAUAACAAAUUAUCACAAAUGUCAUGGCUUAAAAACAAUAGAAAUUUAUUCUCACAGCUCUGGAGGCCAGAACAGUUUCACAUGAUUCAAAAUCAAGGUGCCAACAGGACCUUAAUCCUUGAAGGCCCGUUAGAGAAUUUAUUUCUUGCCUCUUCCAGCUUCUGGCGACUGUUGACGUUUAUUUAUUUGUGGCUGCAUCACUGCAAUCUCUGCCUCUGUGAACGUAUCACCUCUUCUUGUUUUGUGCAUAAAAUCUCCCUCGGCCUUCCUCUUAUAAAGUCACUUCUAAUUGGAUUCAGGGCCCACUUCAGCAACUCCAGAUAAUCACUGUAUGUCAAGAUACUUAACCACAUAUGUAAAAAUCCUUUUUCCUUGUAAGGAAACAUUUAUAGGUAAAGAGAUAGAACCUGAUAUCUUUGGGUGGCCAUUGCUGGGCUUCCUACAGUUAUUCCAGAGACGAUAGCAUGCAUUUAUGAUUUUGCAGACCCUCCUGAGAAUUUAAAUUUCCAACUCAUGUAUAGAUCCCUGAACUCUUUAAUGUUGUAUAUUUUCUUCCACUUGUUGAGAAACAUCCUUUGCUAAUCACUGUGGAGUAAUGGAAUGAGAUUUGCCUUCCGACCUGUAAGCAACAAGAACAACCAAGCCAAAUGCCUGAUACAAUCCUUUUUUGAGAACUUAAUCAUUGGACAACAAAGGACAGUAUUACCUGAGAAAUUUCGUUGAGGGAGAUGAAUCUUACAAUUUUCUGUGUUUAUUUGGCUGCGGGAUAGGGAAAGGAAACAGAGAGUCCAAUAGGCUUUUUAAGUUGCAGAGAUGGAGCUGAGAUUUAGAGAAGUGCAAGGCAACUAGAGUUCAAAAGAAAAUUUUCUGAUUCUGAUAGGGGAGGGCUACACUGAGGAAAAAACCCUAAAAAUUUGCAGAGGUGAUCCUUCAAGAAUUCAGCAGAAUUGUUUUCAAUGUAUGCAUGUAAGAAAACUAUGCAUGGCUGGGAGAUGAGGAGAGUUCGAGUACUGGAUUCUCAGCCAGGGGAUAUUCACCACCACUCUCUCCCACCCCCACCAGUUGAUUCAAUGUUGACCAUACUUGGAAGCAGACAGACUAGGCAGAAAGUGAAGAGUAAAAGAAAAAAAUGCAUGAAGGCCACAUGCUAAGGAACUUCAGCAUUCAUUUAUGUUCUUACAGUGAACACAUUUUGCACCAACUGUGCUCUCUGCCUGGGAUUGCCUUUCCCUGGAUACAUGCAUUGCUACCUUGAUCAUUGUCUUCAUGUUUUUAUCUUUCCUCCCCUGUUGCUUGGUUAGUGUGGAUCCCAACAUUUAAGGACACCGGAUGGACUCAUCGCCUAAAUUUAGCCACCUCUCAGGUAAAUGAGAAGCAAGUUUAUGACCAAUAUUAGCCAACUGGUACCAGGCUACAUCAUUGGUUGGACUCUUGAAAAGAAAGCUUAUUGGUAGAUGAAGCUGAAAAGAUGCGAGGGUGGGAACUGCUGUGAUUACCUAGCAAACAUAACAUGACAUUCUGUGGAGAACAACGGCAUCUUUGAGAACCAACAAGAAGAUGAAAAGGGGGAGCAUGUGCUGACACAGAUGUGUACCACUCUCCAGUGAUCUAUGAGGGAUUGAAAAAAUAGACAUCAGUGGAGCAAAAAGUAUUAUAUUUUGUCUUGAAAUAAACCUUUGAUUUACA